GGACAGAUGGGAGCUUGCUCCCUGAUGUUAGCGGCGGACGGGUGAGUAACACGUGGGUAACCUGCCUGUAAGACUGGGAUAACUCCGGGAAACCGGGGCUAAUACCGGAUGCUUGAUUGAACCGCAUGGUUCAAUUAUAAAAGGUGGCUUUUAGCUACCACUUACAGAUGGACCCGCGGCGCAUUAGCUAGUUGGUGAGGUAAUGGCUCACCAAGGCAACGAUGCGUAGCCGACCUGAGAGGGUGAUCGGCCACACUGGGACUGAGACACGGCCCAGACUCCUACGGGAGGCAGCAGUAGGGAAUCUUCCGCAAUGGACGAAAGUCUGACGGAGCAACGCCGCGUGAGUGAUGAAGGUUUUCGGAUCGUAAAACUCUGUUGUUAGGGAAGAACAAGUACCGUUCGAAUAGGGCGGUACCUUGACGGUACCUAACCAGAAAGCCACGGCUAACUACGUGCCAGCAGCCGCGGUAAUACGUAGGUGGCAAGCGUUGUCCGGAAUUAUUGGGCGUAAAGGGCGCGCAGGCGGUUUCUUAAGUCUGAUGUGAAAGCCCCCGGCUCAACCGGGGAGGGUCAUUGUAAACUGGGGAACUUGAGUGCAGAAGAGGAGA
rnacentral:rRNA from 1 species